CAGCAGCCACGGUAAUACGUAGGUGGCAAGCGUUGUCCGGAAUUAUUGGGCGUAAAGGGCUCGCAGGCGGUUUCUUAAGUCUGAUGUGAAAGCCCCCGGCUCAACCGGGGAGGGUCAUUGGAAACUGGGAAACUUGAGUGCAGAAGAGGAGAGUGGAAUUCCACGUGUAGCGGUGAAAUGCGUAGAGAUGUGGAGGAACACCAGUGGCGAAGGCGACUCUCUGGUCUGUAACUGACGCUGAGGAGCGAAAGCGUGGGGAGCGAACAGGAUUAGAGACCCCCGUAGUCCCUGUCUCUUAUAC
rnacentral:rRNA from 1 species